AAAAGCAGGAAGAGGAAGGAAGGCUGACGAGUUUAUCAGCCUGACUUCUUCCUUCUUAUGACCACAGAGGAGCGUCUUCUGUAGAGACAACAUCUUCUCCCUGCUUCACACAGGGAUGAGAAGAGCAGCUAUGAGCCUGAAAGCAGCAGCGAGUGUGUUGGUUAUCUGUCUUCUCUCUCUGCCAGUGGUUAGGGGAGAGGUUGUCUGGGGAGUGACUUACUCUUCUCAUCAGAUCUGUGCCUUAAAAGGAUCAACAGUGGACAUACCCUGCACCUACACAUAUCCAUCAACAAUAAAUCAUCAAAGUACUGAAGUUAAAAGCAGAUU